rnacentral:rRNA from 1 species
GACGUAGGGCGCGAGCGUUGUCCGGAUUUAUUGGGCGUAAAGAGCCUCGUAGGCGGCUUGUCGCGUCGACUGUGAAAUCCCGCGGCUCAACUGCGGGUCUGCAGUCGAUACGGGCAGGCUAGAGUUCGGUAGGGGAGACUGGAAUUCCUGGUGUAGCGGUGAAAUGCGCAGAUAUCAGGAGGAACACCGAUGGCGAAGGCAGGUCUCUGGGCCGAUACUGACGCUGAGGAGCGAAAGCGUGGGGAGCGAACAGG